rnacentral:lncRNA from 1 species
AUGGGUGCUUGUUACGACAAGAACGUCGUUAUUGUGUACUCGUAUGAAACGACCGUUUUCAACAGUGAUUUGCGACGCCAAGGCGUGUAUUCGUUGAGGUAUUCUGAUGGGCUAACCUGUGGUUGCGUGAAGUCGGAUAAUAUGUUACCAGAAGGUUGCGCAAGGUUUCGUUAACUUCACUGCUUGGAGUCACCAUUGUAUCGGAGCUCUCCCACCAAGCUGACCUCGGAACAAUUUUUGUAGAUUCCGCUACGAGAUUCCAGCCACACACCGGUUGACCCCAAAUCCUCAAUGCCUGAACCAUUUGGCCUUUCCAGCUGUGGCUGUUCGGAUGAGUGUGCGCCUUGCUCGGAAACAUCCGGCCAGGAAAACCAAGUACGAGGACAUGUUUUGCUGAAGCUUUCUUGUCCUGAUUUCCAAUGAUGAUGCAUCAUCGACACUCGACUAUACGCAAGAAUUUGUUCUGGAUGGAAAUCUCUGUCUGCAGGGUGACAUUUGGUGUAUGUUAUUGUAGCAUUGGGACACUCUUGUCUAAACUGUGAUAGCAAAUAUGUGCGUGAAAAUUGCGAGAAAUAAGCGCAAUAUACUGGUUUAUCGUUCUGUAAACUAAUGACCUGUUAGCAAUACUACUGCUCUCAACGAGGUUUUAUGCAUUGUGUCGAUAAAUAGUCAAGUGUUCAAAUGUAAUUAGAAUUUGCUUAACAUGUAACAGUGCAUUAGCGCAAGCUGACUUAUGCAGGAAAUCCGCUUGCUAUAGAAGGCUGUUUCGACAAGCAACUUUCAUAGAAAAAAAAAAGAAACUGGUAGUGCUAGGCACAAUGUGCUGGUCAUCUGCACUGCAUAAUCAGUUCACUGCAUAAUCAUUAUUCACGCACAUGUUGCUAUAAGCUGUCGUUUCUGGAAAAUGGUAUUGUGUACAGCCAAUGAACGGUGUGAAUCCUGCAGCUAUAUUUUGUAUACAAUGAAUUGUGUCAAACAUUCUAUUAUUCUUGUGUAACCGAUGCAGAAUGCCAACAUUUGUAUUUAUUGUACAAGAUGUACAGCUUUGUGCUAAAGAGGCCUGUAUAGAGUUUUAUCUUUUGAAAUACGCUGCUAAUAAAAACAGUUACUAAACCACA